ACUAAGGCCAAGACAAUACCCUUUCCUUAUCUCAGACGGCAGUUGAAUUAAUGGUGAUGUCAGUCAAAGGAUUCUUGAUUUUGUUGAUUCCUCUCUAGUUCAAUCACCAGCCUCAAAGGAGGAUAUGGGGUUCAAAAUGGUCACAUGGCCAAUAGUUUUUACAAAAUUUUCGUGUGUCAUGCUGAUAUGAUUGACUUUUGAAAACAUCCAGUUUCCCAGUCCUCCAGUAAAAAAAGUCUCAGUUCUUUCCCUGCUUUAGAUAAUCAUAUUUUAGUCUCUGGGGAGCUGGUAGGCCCAAAUUCUGGAGCAAAUGCUAAUUAAAUAGCUGUAUUACAGCCACACUGGUCUGGUAACAAAAGGCAACAGCUGUGUGAAAAUUUUUCCCCCUUCAGUGCUGAAGCUGGUGUGUUGAACAGAACUUCUUGCAUCCCCCAUUCCCUCUGUUAUGCAGGUGCUUUGCACAGUGCAGAGCGCCAUGUGGGCCUUGGGUUCUGACCAUGGUGGAGCACAACAAGCAAGGGUGAAUGAAGCUGCCCUUCUGACAAGCAAGAAAAGAUGCCUCAUCCUCAAACAACUCUAUCCCACUCCUGAGAGGAAUGAGGAAUUAAGUAUUUUUCCCUCAGCUUGGUCUUUUUUCAUUACAAAUGAAGCCAGGUAUGACCUGGCUUUUCCUCUGAAGUGAUGUGGAAAUGGCCACUGCAGUCCAGCCCUGAGGGAGGACCUUGCUAGCUGAUUUGGCAUGUGGUUUUUGCAUUGAUGCUGACUCAGAUGGUUUACAAAGGUAAAUUCUGAACCUCAUCUACCUGCUACUGUUUCCUGAGAUGUUGGGGGAGUCAGAGCAUGGGAGCAGACCGUUUGUCAUCCCCAAAUCAAAAGAAAUAUUUGAAAAGUUCACUUGGAAACACAAAUGGUCAUUGGCUAGGGGUCAAAUCUGGGAGUCUCUUACACUUGAAUAACCCCAUAUGGAAUGGUAUUGGCAGGAGCCAGCACCCUCUAGGGCAUACAGACAUGCUGCAUUACGCAUCUGAAAUGCAUGGCCGUGCAUGAAGACUGCCAGAGUCAGCAAGAAACAGCUGCAAAAGAAGCACCAGAUUUUGAUGUAAUAUGUACUGCCUUCCAUUGGAUCAGAAACAAAAUCCGUGGGGAAGAGGGAGAGCUGUCCA
rnacentral:lncRNA from 1 species